rnacentral:rRNA from 1 species
GAUUGAUGCUUGCAUCAGCUAAAAAGCCGAGUGGCGAAUGGGUGAGUAACACGUGGGUAACCUGCCUUGAAGUGGGGGAUAACAUUUGGAAACAGAUGCUAAUACCGCAUAACCACAAAAACCCCCUGGUUUUUGUGUCAAAGAUGGUUCUGCUAUCACUUCAAGAUGGACCCGCGGCGUAUUAGCUUGUUGGUGAGGUAACGGCUCACCAAGGCAAUGAUACGUAGCCGAACUGAGAGGUUGAUCGGCCACAUUGGGACUGAGACACGGCCCAAACUCCUACGGGAGGCAGCAGUAGGGAAUCUUCCACAAUGGACGCAAGUCUGAUGGAGCAACGCCGCGUGAGUGAAGAAGGUUUUCGGAUCGUAAAGCUCUGUUGUUGGUGAAGAAGGAUAGAGGUAGGAAAUGGCCUUUAUUUGACGGUAAUCAACCAGAAAGUCACGGCUAACUACGUGCCAGCAGCCGCGGUAAUACGUAGGUGGCAAGCGUUGUCCGGAUUUAUUGGGCGUAAAGCGAGUGCAGGCGGUUAAAUAAGUCUGAUGUGAAAGCCCUCGGCUCAACCGAGGAAUUGCAUCGGAAACUGUUCAACUUGAGUGCAGAAGAGGAGAGUGGAACUCCAUGUGUAGCGGUGGAAUGCGUAGAUAUAUGGAAGAACACCAGUGGCGAAGGCGGCUCUCUGGUCUGUAACUGACGCUGAGGCUCGAAAGCAUGGGUAGCGUAAGGAUUAGAUACCCUGGUAGUCCCGUGCCGUAAACGAUGAGUGCUAAGUGUGAGGUUGCCCCCUUCAUGCCGCAGCUAACGCAUUAAGCACACCGCCUUGGGGAGUACGGUCGCAAGGUUUGAAACUCAAAGGAUUGCGGGGGGUCCGUACAAGCCGGUGAACA